AAUCAACGCUGGCGGCGUGCCUCAGACAUGCAAGUCGAACGCGAAAUUUCCCUUCGGGGAGAAAGUAGAGUGGCGCACGGGUGAGUAACACGUAGGUAAUUUGCCUUUGGGUGGGGAAUAACUCAGGGAAACUUGAGCUAAUACCGCAUAAUGCAGCGGCUCGACAUCGAGACAGUUGUUAAAGCGGGGGAGUUGGAGCAAUCCGACCUCGCGCCUAAAGAGAAGCCUGCGGCAGAUUAGCUAGUUGGUAAGGUAAUGCUUACCAAGGCGACGAUCUGUAACCGGCCUGAGAGGGCGGGUCGGUCACACUGACACUGACAUACGGGUCAGACUCCUACGGGAGGCAGCAGUGGGGAAGUCUUGCGCAAUGGGCGAAAGCCUGACGCAGCGACGCCGCGUGA
rnacentral:rRNA from 1 species